UUGCAGCCAAUUAAGCCAACCAUCUCCCUUUCCCCUUGGGGGCCCAGUGCACAGUGGCUGCAGACAGCAGCCUCCUUGUAGUGUACAUGGUCUUUUGCUUAAAUGGGUUGCCCUAAGGGACCUUGGAGACAGCC
rnacentral:snoRNA from 1 species